rnacentral:rRNA from 1 species
GAUGAACGCUGGCGGCGUGCCUAAUACAUGCAAGUCGAGCGAACAGAUAAGGAUCUUUCUCCUUUGACGUUAGCGGCGGACGGGUGAGUAAUACGUGGGUAACCUACCUAUAAGACUGGGAUAACUUCGGGAAACCGGAGCGAAUACCGGAUAAUAUGUCGAACGGCAGGGUUCGAUAGUGAAAGAUGGAUCUGCUCUCACUUAUAGAUGCACCCGCGUCGUAUUAGUUAGUUGGUAAGGAAACCGCAUACCAAGGCAACGAUACGUAGCUGACCUGAGAGGGUAAUCGGUCACACUGGAGCAGGGACGAGGUCCACACUCCUACGAGAGGCAGCAGAGGGGAAUGUUGCGCGAUGGGCGAAAGCCUGAACCAACCACGCCGCGUGUGUGAUGACGGUCUUCGGAUCGUAAAACGCUAUUAAUUGGGGAGAACGUCAAUAUAUGUAACGUUGCACGUCUUGACGUUACCUAAUCAGAAAGCCACGGCUAACUACGUG